rnacentral:tRNA from 1 species
AGAGGCUUAGGAUAACCCCAAACCAAGGGCCUUCAAAGCCCUAAAUGGAAGUGAAACCCUUCCAGCCCCUG